UUGCGAGCAUGAGGACUAAUUGUAGUCCUGGCCGUUACAGAAGAAGAGGAUUGCUCAAUCUUGGAAGAAGCACUGUCUGAGGCUUGCCUGACGGAUGAAGCAUUGCCUGAUGGACUUCCAGUAUAAGGUGGACGCCUCAAACCCUUAUUUCGAAGGCCUCCUGUCAACAUCUUCACCGAUUUUCUGAAAAGAUAACAUGGAGGACAAGUGUGCAAUUAAGAAAGAUGUUUCUGAAUUGAUAGGCAAUACACCAAUGGUAUAUAUCAACAAUAUUGUUGAUGGUUGUGUAGCCCGUAUCGCUGCGAAGCUUGAAAUGAUG